rnacentral:rRNA from 1 species
UACGUAGGGGGCAAGCGUUGUCCGGAUUUACUGGGCGUAAAGAGCGUGUAGGCGGCCAAGCAGGUCCGUUGUGAAAACUGGAGGCUUAACCUCCAGACGUCGACGGAAACCGCGUGGCUAGAGUCCGGAAGAGGAGAGUGGAAUUCCAGCGUGUAGCAGUGAAAUGCGUAGAGAUGUGGAGGAAUACCGAUGGCGAAGGCAGCCCCCUGGGCCAAUACUGACGCUCAUGCACGAAAGCGUGGGGAGCAAACAGG